rnacentral:rRNA from 1 species
AAGUAAAAGUCGUAACAAGGUUUCCGUAGGUGAACCUGCGGAAGGAUCAUUAUCGAAAUUAUAGGUGAGGGUUGUAGCUGGCCUCUCGGGGCAUGUGCACGCCCGAGCCCUUAAUCCACACACACCUGUGAACCUAUUGUAAGGGCCCUUAAAAAAGGCCUUUACGUCUUAUCAUCAACCCAUCGUAUGUCUCAUAGAAUGUAAAUAUAUGUCCUCGCCUUAAAAAGCGUUGAUAAACUUAUACAACUUUCAACAACGGAUCUCUUGGCUCUCGCAUCGAUGAAGAACGCAGCGAAAUGCGAUAAGUAAUGUGAAUUGCAGAUUUUCAGUGAAUCAUCGAAUCUUUGAACGCACCUUGCGCUCCUUGGUAUUCCGAGGAGCAUGCCUGUUUGAGUGUCAUUAAAUUCUCAACUCUGAUCGAUUUGUUUCGACUUCGGAGCUUGGAUUUGGAGCGUGCUGGCGUCGGUCGGCUCCUCUUAAAUGCAUCAGCGGAAUCUAACGUUUCGGACGUCAGUGUGAUAAUCAUGUUGCGCUGUCUGUCUGAUCCGAAAGCCCGCUCACAAUGGUCUUCGGACAACUUCAUAUCAAAUUUGACCUCAAAUCAGGUAGGACUACCCGCUGAACUUAAGCAUAU